rnacentral:rRNA from 1 species
CACGUAGGGGGCAAGCGUUGUCCGGAUUUAUUGGGCGUAAAGAGCUCGUAGGCGGUUCGGUAAGUCGGGUGUGAAACCUCCAGGCUCAACCUGGAGACGCCACCCGAUACUGCUGUGACUAGAGUCCGGUAGGGGAGCGUGGAAUUUCAGGUGUAGCGGUGAAAUGCGUAGAUAUCUGAAGGAACAUCAGUGGCGAAAAGCGACUUCCUGGACCAAUACUGACGCUCAUGUGCGAAAAGCGUGGGGGAGCAAACAGG